GUUGGACGUGCUUGCGCUUUGCUGUGAAGAAGCUGCCUGUGGUUUGCGUUGAUGAUCCUUUAAUCCAUAACAUAGUCACCUCAGCCUCGUUUUCUCUUGCUCACAUCAAUUAACAAAAGAUCUUGGACUUUGUAUUAGGGAAGAAGGUUUUUGUACAUAAUUUUGUCAUGAAACCUAUUCCCUGACUUGCAGACGCCUUAAAGUGAUGAUGCAGUUCUCUUACCCACCCCCAACUUUGAAUUGCUGCUUUUGUACAUCACUUUGGGUAAAAAUCUUCAGACCAAUGACCAUAAACGUGAGUGAGGUUUUUGCAGGAUCCGAGUUGUGCGAGACGAAAGAAAGAACGAAUGGCCGCUACAACGGACAAAGUGGGUUUGUACGCAAACAUGAGGGACUUUCUCACCCCAAACUCAAACACUUGUAGAGAACAAGGAGAUUAACAGCUACUUCACAUGCAGGGGGAGCCCGUGCUCAGCAUGUUUUCCACAGGUACACCUUCACUCUUACCAGUUGACUUACAAAUCCAUCAGCUAUCGUUACUAUUAUUAUAAGUAAUAUAAUAAUAUCAUUUUAUGGCUGAAUCAUAUUGUACAUAAAUAAAGAUUGAGGUGAGAUUCGAACCAUCAAACAGGAUGUGACACAUAAUGAAGCUCGGCAAAUGAAGCCCACUGUUAAUCUAUUAGCGAGCGCAGUGUCGUUACUUAUUGGAGGCUGGUCUGGUUACACAUUAAAAUAUACAGUGUCACCGCAUCCCCCAUCGCUUGAUUGAGAGCUCCUUCAGCCUCUCAGCGGGGAGGCGUCGCUGUAGGCCGCUAUUUUCAUUAGUGCUGGAAGUCUCUUAUUUUCAGGCGGCGGCGUGGUGAAAAUGUGCUUAAUGGAACGCUGAGGUGGAGGCGGCUGGUGGAGGUGAUGCGCCCUCCUUAACAAGCUGGGGGUGUUUCCCGGUGUCACAUCUCGUGAAGCGGGGAAGCGUUUCUAGUGUUUGUAAAACCCUGGAAGCUCCUUUGACUCAACGUGUAGAGAACGACACAUGCAGGAACGUCAGCGUGAGCAGCUUCAGCGACGCACAGUUUCUAUAGAUACUGGUCGCGAGGUCCUUAGGAGGAACAGGGGAAAGAAAAACAUCCAAAAGAUGUCAAGUUGGAAAGGUGCUAAUGUGUGCGAUCGCAUUAAUCGUCUGACAAGAUCUCACUUCCAGCGGAACAGCUGAGGGACCGUGGAGCAGAGCGAUGCCGCAGAGUCCACAUCGUCUCUCUCUCCCUUUUUUUUUUCUUCUUCUUCUUCUUCCUCUCUUCCUGCUCUUAAUUGGAGACACGGGGGGUUCACAUCACUUUUCACUUUAAUCUUGACCUUAGAAGAUAAACCACUGAUAAAGAUGAGAAUCAUUAUCUGCCCAGAGAAUUCAAGGAAUAAUUUCCUCAGCUGCUGCUCCAUUCAUUAAUGGGGAAAGCGCUUCUGUAGUGGGGGAUAUCUUGAAUUUGCAGACAUGCUAUAAUAUUGAUGACAGAAUGGGCUUUUGUCAGAAACUAUGUUGUCUGCUCAGUUAUUUAUUACUUUUAUCAAAAAAAGCUGCUUUCAACCAUAUGUAUACAUUUGAUUUGAAGAGCGAUUUAACUUGUUUAGAGCAGACGCAGUGGGUGGGUCAUCGAGACGAGUGCAUUAUCCAACGUUUGACAGUCGCUGAAUGUCAAGUUAGAUCCCCUCUGAGAAACACACCCACCAAUUACCCGCCAAAAUAAAAGUUAUCAUUGCCCAGCAAGCGUCUAAGAACCUCGCUGGCUGCUAGAUGUUUUAUAGUCGUAUAAAGUCGUGCAUUCUCAGUCUAACUACAGUCCCAUCACCCCCAUAGCUUAAACAAGCUGCCGGUUAGCCUGAUGCUAACGUGUGGGAGGGAAGAGCCUGUGUGGCGCUGCAAAGGCCACGGACUGGGAACCGUCAAGGACGCAGUCACCUUCCUCUGGAGGAGAAGCGAGUCCUGGGGGACGCGCUGUGGUUUGUGAGUCUCCUGAACUAGGUCACCUCACCUCUUUGCUGGAAGUUACGCUAUUAUUUCCCUAAUGCCGCCCGGCUCCCGGCGUGUGGCCUCCUGCGUGGCUGACUUGUUUUGGUGCAAACUCCAGCCACCGCUGCCAAGGAAAGCAAACAUCUGUGGUGCAUUCAGGCACCGCAGGUGCCGCCGACGGACAACGUGCAGCAUGUGUUUGCUCUCACACGCAGUCUCAGAAGGCAAGAAGUGAAGGAUGAACACAAUAAGUACAAGCAGCAUAUUAGCCAGAACAGUAUUUUGUAUGGUUCAUCUCCUUGUGUUAAUGUAACAGUGGAGCUGAUGGUGUUUUAUUAGCACGGCUUAAUUCCAUAAACUGGUCAAACAUAAAAUGUCAUCAUUACAGCUUUGCUCAUUGGUGUCACUGUCACUGCAGCCUCCGCUGUGAGACUGAAGGCGGUGCUUCGCUUUUUCCUCCUCUCCCCUAAUCGCCUGUUUGGAAAACCUGGACCGUCCGUCGAUAGCAGAGAAGUGAAUGUUAUGUCUUAAAAUGUCCUUUCCUCAGGUCCUCCUCCAACCUGUCAAUAACCAGUUGGGAAGGAGGGAUCCGCGGCCGUCCUGAUGGAUAUGCUCACACCUCCGAGAGGUAAACAGCAUUGAUUCUGUCCCACCGCCACCUCUAAUUUGCUUCCAGCCUCGGCACAAUAAGCUGCUUUAUGACUAAUCACACACGUUUACAGGAGCCAUACAAGACAUUUUUUAUUUUCUGGAGUGCGCCUGAAGCUCUCAGACGCGCGGUGUCAGUAUUGAAAUGUUUCUGGGCUGUCACAUCUCGCCACCUCCUUAGCCCUAAUGUGAUCGAUUUGGACAGCUACAGAGCCAUAACAUGAUCCUCUACAGAGCACUUCUACAGUAACAUUUCAGGCCCAGUUGAAUCCUACUUCCCCUGGGCCAUUAAAUAAAGAACUGGACCUCAAGUGGAUCUGUGAGUCGGGUCCAUCCCUGAGCUUACGGGCACGUUAAUGACAGAAAUUGUACAUGUCAGUACUACCACAGAGCCCAAGGAUUAAAUAAUGUGCAUGUAAUAGUGAGGUCUGAGGUCUUGGCCUUGAUGUGCUAAGAACAUUUGCAAUACCACUUUAAUGACGAAAGGGAAAGAGUCUGAAGCUUUGCCUUAGAGGACGUGUCAGGCCUUUCAUGGAAACCUUUUAAUUGCAACAAAAAAUGUCUAUUAGUGAACUCUCUCUUGAAGAUGUGGUUUUCAUUAUUCAAACGGGUAAAAUUAGUCUUAUUGUUUAUAUUUAUUAUGAUUACAAUUAUUAUUAUUUCUGUUGCUAAAUACAGAUUUUAAAACGAGAGAAUCUUGAAUGUGAUUUCAUAGUUUGUGCAUAUAUAUAUCUGUAUAUGUACUGUUUAGUUACAUACACACAUGUAUAUAUACACAGCAAGAGCGAGAGGGGGGAAAAGAGAAAAGACGUGGAGGGUGAGGGCACAAGUAGUACCUGUGGUGAUAGGAACACUGGGGGUUGUAACCCCCAAACUGGGGGAGAGAGGCUCCAACAGAUCCCAGGAACAACAUCCGAGAUCUCUGUCCAGAAGAAGGAACAGCAAAGAUACUGCAAUAAAAGAAAAAAUAAGACCCUCAAGCUCUGAGGACCCAAGCUUGUAGGAACCACUCCAAGGAAGAGGCCGGAGAAGAAUUUGUUUUAUAAAUAUAUAUAUACAGUGUAUAAUGUAUUAGCUUAAUGUACACCCUACGUCUUACCAGCACAGCCACCAUAUUUAUAUAUAUGUAGCCAUAUAUAUAUGUAGCAUUUAUAACUUGAUCAAACCCAAAUUCAGUCUUUGUCUUAAAUCCACUAUAUGAGUUAGUUUCACUUUUGCAUGUGAAAUUUCUCAAUAUGUGAAAUUUUAUAAGGCCUGAACAGUAAAACAAGUGUCAGUAAACUCCAUGAAUUGCACUCAAAUUCUGACUUAGAUCUUGUUAUUACACCCAUUUGUGUGAACUGACUGGAACACAGAACGCGGCAUUAGCCCCAGCGGUGGGAGCAGAUGGCCCACGGGGCAUGUUUGCCAGAUUUGAGAUUUAUAAAGAACUGACACACACAAAUAAAUUUGGACAGUGUUGCCUUAACAUCUGAGAACAACUAUUUAACUCAUCCCAUCUCGGGAAGUUUUCACACUUCACACUUCAUUAACCUCUAGGGCACGGAUUCCCUGGGAAGUCAGGGAAGAGAAAUGCUUGUCUUUUUCACAUAAAUCACCAGCGAACACUGAGCCCCCGAUGACAACAUUUACAUGUGCCCGGCAUUCCAGAUAAUGGCCGAUAUUCCGCUUAAGGUGCGAUUUGGUGCUGUAGGAGCUGUUUAAAUGCACGUUCGCAUCUCCGGCUCAAAUAUCCGUGCCCGCGUGCAUGAAGGCGGCGUUCCAGACCCUGGUAUUAAAAGCAAAGCUUGCACUAAUCGUUGAAAAUGAGAAUAAUUGGGGUAAAGCAAAGUUUAGUCUCAGAUUCAAUUCACAUACAGGUGUUAAACAUGCAUCCUAGUCCAACAUGCAUCCCACUAAAUGUAUUUUCAUGCUGGUUCACUGAAACACAUGGAUGAGAUAUAGAACUGAGUUUUUAUGGCCUAUAUUGUGACUUUAACCCGAAUUAAAUGAGAUUAGAGUUUGUCAUCAUAUACCUAUAUGGCUUUUACUUUCAUUAACUAACACUGUGCGAAACAAUAUUCAGUAAGAUUCAUAUUAUAUCUCCACUAAUAAUAUUUGAAUUUGGAUUUAUUGCUUUUAGGUUUGUCAUCCUGUGGUGGGAAUAGCAGAAAGGCUUAAUUACUUUUUAUGGGGGUGAUAAUUAAAAGAAGAGAUCAGACAUCCAGACAUGGAAGGUUGAAAUAUUUAAUCACGAGAACCAACAAAAGCUUGUGUGUGUUAAUUCACGAGUCUUUUUUUUGUAAUGUUUAAUGCAUUUUGGGCAAAAUGGGGCAUUCAUAAAAAUGACUAACCAACGUUUUCCAUCACUCCAUCACUUUUGGAGACAUUGAGGUAAAGGAUGGGGAGCAUCUCCUUGUACAUACAAACGCUGUGGUAUCAUAUCCUUUGAGUAUCACCGCUGGGUCCAUCAGUCUGAUACAGGGAUGCAGUUCUCCAGUCUGCUCACAGGCAUAAAUUGAGCAGUGGAAACACAUCACGUUUGAGAAUAAACUUUUGAGUUUGUGUCUUUUACUGUCAAAAGCUGUGAGCUCCCCUACGUGGAGAGUGUUUGGACGCUAUCGUAGGUAGGUUUGCAUUCAUUAGACACAGUCUUGUAUGUGUCAUGCCCCACA